rnacentral:rRNA from 1 species
UACGUAGGGUGCGAGCGUUGUCCGGAAUUAUUGGGCGUAAAGAGCUUGUAGGCGGUUUGUCGCGUCUGCUGUGAAAAUCCGGGGCUCAACCCCGGACUUGCAGUGGGUACGGGCAGACUAGAGUGUGGUAGGGGAGACUGGAAUUCCUGGUGUAGCGGUGGAAUGCGCAGAUAUCAGGAGGAGCACCGAUGGCGAAGGCAGGUCUCUGGGCCACUACUGACGCUGAGAAGCGAAAGCAUGGGGAGCGAACAGG